GAGGGAGAGAAGAAACGUAUAAUCACCCAAACAACCUUUUUUUUUUUUUUAACCCAUUUUACCCCCUCUGGAUCUGUGUGGCAAGCUCUCAGUCGGUGUCUCGCCGCUGCGGAGGGACACGGAGGAGGAGGGGAGGCCGGGCCGGGAGGAAGACACCAAGAGGGAAACACUCUCAACCAACAUCCUGGGUAUAAAUUUGCAAAACGCAAUACAGGCCUGAUUGUGUGUUGAGUGGAUGCGGGGUGCAUACGAAUAGACCCUGGAACCCCUUCCUCUCUCCUCCUCCAAAGAGUACCACCCAACCCCUACCCCCAUCUCUUCUCGAGCUGCCAAGAGGAAGGGGGAAGUCGGAUGCCUGGGAGGAAAAGAAGUGGCAUGCCAAAAACACAUUAAUCCUCAAGUUCAAUUUGCACGUGAGUUCUAUUAUUAGGUCUCCUGUUGCUGAGAAAUGUGGGGGGGAAUUUACACAGGAAUUUAUACAUAGAAAUUGCAACAUGGCAGAUUUAUAGAUUUAUGGUUUAUUACAUAUCAGAUCUGUAGUAUAUUUGGGCCUCAUAGGCCUUGAUACUGACACAUGAUGCUAACUCAUGCAUUACAGCAGAGCUCAAUAUAGAUAUACAGUAUGUGAUAAAUGAGACUUAGCAACCAAGCCAGAAGUGGUGUGUUUUUCUUUGUCAAAACCUGGUGCCUACAUUGCCCACAAUGCAACAGUUCAGUUGGUGAUUUGCUUGUGUUAUGCUGUUGCUCAUGUGGCUAAUAUGGCAUCAAGCGGCCUACAGAGGUGUGUUAAUAUCACUUUGUUUUUCACUCCACAUCCCAUAUUUUCAUUUUUUCAUGUUCUUUUUUAUGUUAAUUCUGUACUGAGUGAAGUUCAACA